UACGGGGGGGGUAAGCGUUGUUCGGAAUUACUGGGCGUAAAGCGUGCGCAGGCGGUUGUGCAAGACAGAUGUGAAAUCCCCGGGCUCAACCUGGGAAUUGCAUUUGUGACUGCACGGCUAGAGUGUGUCAGAGGGGGUAGAAUUCCACGUGUGAGCAGUGAAAUGCGUAGAGAUGUGGAGGAAUACCGAUGGCGAAGGCAGCCCCCUGGGAUAACACUGACGCCUCAUGCACGAAAGCGUGGGGAGCAA
rnacentral:rRNA from 1 species